rnacentral:sRNA from 1 species
GUCCUGGAUUCUGCUUUAUGGCCCUCAGUCGAAUUCUUUCUUCUGAGGAGGCAAGGACUGAAGUUGCUUCUGACCAGUACAGUUUCCCUGACUCUUAGAGCCGUGGAGCAGUGUGUGUCAUGUGCUGCACACCCAGGCUGGAACAGCCUGUCUCCAGGAGAAAACGAAUACAGCAGGGAUGACUUCCACCAGCUCCACUUUGCAGCUCUGAGGUGUAUUAAAAAUGACCUGGAAGAAGUCAUGCCACGGGCCAGACCUUAACAUUCCUUUCGGCUUACCCCAGGAUUUCAGACGAAGCUUCACUUUCCUAACCAGUCACAAAUCAGAGAAUUUUUGAUUCCACCUAUGACCUGUGAGCUCCUGCUUCAAGAUAUUCCACCUUUUUUAGGCCAAACCAAUGUAUAACCUCCAAGUGUCGAUUUACACUUUCGACUGUAACUUCUGCUUUCCUGAGAUUUACCCCUGCCUUUAAAAACCCUUGCUUGUAAUCCCUCAGGGAGGCCGUGUAUUUAUUAAUCAUGAGCUGCCCAAUUCUCCUUGCUUGGUGCCCUGCAAAUAAACACC